CUAGGACGAACGCUGGCGGCGUGCCUAAUACAUGCAAGUCGAACGGUCUUUCUAUGGAAGCUUGCUUCCACUGAGAAGAUAGUGGCGAACGGGUGAGUAACACGUGGGUAACCUGCCCAUAAGAGGGGGAUAACAUCCGGAAACGGGUGCUAAUACCGCAUAGUUUUCUUGAUCGCAUGAUUGAGAAAGGAAAGACGGCCUUUGUGCUGUCGCUUAUGGAUGGACCCGCGGCGUAUUAGUUAGUUGGUGAGGUAAUGGCUCACCAAGACGAUGAUACGUAGCCGACCUGAGAGGGUGAUCGGCCACAUUGGGACUGAGACACGGCCCAAACUCCUACGGGAGGCAGCAGUAGGGAAUCUUCCGCAAUGGACGAAAGUCUGACGGAGCAACGCCGCGUGAGUGAAAGAAGGUUUUCGGAUCGUAAAACUCUGUUGUCAGAGAAGAACAAGUUGGAGAGUAACUGCUCCAGCCUUGACGGUAUCUGACCAGAAAGCCACGGCUAACUACGUGCCAGCCGCGGC
rnacentral:rRNA from 1 species